rnacentral:rRNA from 1 species
GAUCAGCAAUGCCGCGUGCAGGAUGAAGGCCCUCGGGUUGUAAACUGCUUUUGUACGGAACGAAAAGCCUGGGGCUAAUAUCCCCGGGUCAUGACGGUACCGUAAGAAUAAGCACCGGCUAACUACGUGCCAGCAGCCGCGGUAAUACGUAGGGUGCAAGCGUUAAUCGGAAUUACUGGGCGUAAAGCGUGCGCAGGCGGUUUUGUAAGACAGUGGUGAAAUCCCCGGGCUCAACCUGGGAACUGCCAUUGUGACUGCAAAGCUAGAGUGCGGCAGAGGGGGAUGGAAUUCCGCGUGUAGCAGUGAAAUGCGUAGAUAUGCGGAGGAACACCGAUGGCGAAGGCAAUCCCCUGGGCCUGCACUGACGCUCAUGCACGAAAGCGUGGGGAGCAAACAGGAUUAGAUACCCUG